AUUGAACGCUGGCGGCAGGCCUAACACAUGCAAGUCGAACGAGUGGCGGACGGGUGAGUAAUGUCUGGGAAACUGUCCGAUGGAGGGGGAUAACUACUGGAAACGGUAGCUAAUAUCGCAUAUCAUCGGAUGUGCCCAGAUGGGAUUAGCUAGUAGGUGGGGGAACGGCUCACCUAGGCGACGAUCCCUAGCUGGUCUGAGAGGAUGACCAGCCACACUGGAACUGAGACACGGUCCAGACUCCUACGGGAGGCAGCAGUGGGGAAUAUUGCACAAUGGGCGCAAGCCUGAUACAGCCAUGCCGCGUGUAUGAAGAAGGCCUUCGGGUUGUAAAGUACUUUCAGCGAGGAGGCGUUACUCGCAGAAGAAGCACCGGCUAACUCCGUGCCAGCAGCCGCGGUAAUAC
rnacentral:rRNA from 1 species